AUCUUCCCAAUCUCCUUAAUCUUAACUGCAUCUGUCGGUGGACCUCAGCUUUCCAGCGCUGUGUAGCUUCUCUCAGGAUAAAGGCUUCCUCCAUGUCUCAGCAUUCUAAAAGCUAAGCCUUGGAAUUGUGUUUGAAAUCACCCAGCCAUAAACACACCUGUGAAAACUUCUAAACUCACUCUGGAAAAGCACAUCGAAGUUCAGACCAGCCACAUUCCAGGCACCCAAUAACUGCCACAAUAAAGUGGAACUCUGAUAUCAGGGGAGUGAAGAGCCUGAACAUCCCUUUUCUGCCAGAGGUGAGGGAACAGCAUCUCUCUACCAACAUCUCUCUUCAGUUCCGAGGGUGGAACGGAUAGUGACGAUAGAAAUAGCAGAGAGCAGCAGGAAUAAAAUAAUGACAGGCAGACAGACCACUGCUGGUAAACUGUUGCCCAUCUUUCUUUCAGAGAUCAGACAGUAAACAAAGGAUGAUUGGCGC